UCUGGCGAUGAUGACAAACUUGCCCUCACUGAGAACAGUGUUCAAUAAUGAAAACUCUGUACUCGAACCUGAGCCAGA